ACCUCAACACUCAUAUAGGUGAAUCUAUCAAGUGUACACCACAGUCAAGCACACCACUCAUUCAUGAGCUAUAGAUUCAUUAAGAGAAAAAUUCAACCUCCAUCGCUGUAGUAUACACUAUCCUACACCAUACUAUACCAUAGGGAUGAACUCAAAUAGAAAUUGGAUAGUGUCUUCUCAAAUUGACAAGUGACUUGUUCUUACCCAUAUGAACAUAGCCUUGCGAAUUUUCACAAUUUAUGUUGGGUUACCAUCACUUUCAAUUUUUGUAUUGGACAUAAAUCCAUCCCCCUCGAUGUAUAUAUCAUCCACUAGUUUCUUGCUCAGUGGGAUUAUCACAGGAUCCUUU
rnacentral:lncRNA from 1 species